CGAAACAUGAAAGUUUUUAGUCUGAUGAGGCCCAAUUUAUGUAUUUUGUCGUUGUUGUUUCCUGUGCUUUUGGUGUCAUAUCCAAUAAAUCAUUACCAAAUCCAAUGUCAUGAGACUUUUACCCAUAUUUUCUCUUCCUCCUCCUCCUCCUCCUUCUUCUUCUUCUACUUUUAAAGACUUAUUUUUCAUGAUAGACACAGAGGGGCAAGGACAUAGGCAGAGGGAGAAGCAGGCUCCCUGUGGGGAGCCUAAUAUGUGGGACUUGAUCCUAGGGCCUCAAGAUCAUGACCUGAGCCAAAGGUAGAUGCUCAACCACUGAACUACCCAGGUGCCUUCCCCAUGUUUUUUUUUUUUUUUCUUAGAGCUUUAUAGUUUUAACUCUCACAGAUUAGGUCUUUGAUCCAUUUUCAGUUAAUUUUGUAUAUGAUAUAAAGUAAGGGUUCAACUUUAUUCUUUUGCAUGGAUAUCCAGUUUUCCCAGCAAGAUUUGUCCCAGUCUUUCCCCAUUGAAUGGACUUGGUGCCCUUGUCAAAAAUUGUGAGGGCUUAUUUCUAAGUGAUCUGUUCUAUUUGGACUCCAUGUCUAGCUCUAUGCCAGUAACACUAUUUUGAUUAUUGUGGUUUCAUAGAUAAGUUUUGAAAUCAGAAGGUGUGAGUCCUCCAGGAAAAGGCAUUCAUAUGAGAUGAAAAUUAAGAUGUGGAUUCAUUUCACAUCACUUAGUGCAGAAGAGAUGGCAAUCAGCCAGUCUGAAGACCAAAGUUUCUGUUGGCAUUAUCCAAGCUGCGGACUUCUUCGGAGGAUGUCGCCAAAACCAUAUAUGUUGCCUGCAGGUGGUUUGUGCGUCACCAGAGGACGAUCUCUACUUAGAUUCUUGGGAGCCAUCUGUUUUCUGCAUAUAGAAAAAUGACAGGGACUCACUUUCCAAGAAAUUACACUAUGUUCAAUGACUUCCCAUCAAGAGUAAGCAAUGUUCCGUAUCCUGCCAUUGGUAAGUAUCAAAUGGGCCCAUGUCAGACAAGGCAUGGCUUUUAAUCUCCCUUUAUUUGCCAUGUCACUUGUCAGUGACCUUGACUGUUGCCGGCUGCCUCGUGUUCUGCAGUUUACUGAUAAGUGUGUUCACGGCUUUUGAAGUCAUGUCUGCCGAAAACCACAUCUGGUUCACCGCCGCCUCAACAGACACACAAUGAAAUAUAAAGGCUAAGUCUGCGGUGUACAUGAUCCGUGUCUGUUUCCCCAGAGGAUUCCAGAUGGAGCGAACUCCGCAGAGGCAGGGCCUGACCGCCGGCGACUCUGGCGGGGAGGAGUGAGCAGGGGGUAUGAGCUGAGGCCUUUGCUGAACUGGGCAGGGUCCUGUGGUCUCAGACAAGGGAGAGGAGAGGGAGCUCCCAUUUCGGGGGGUGGGGGGUGGUGCUCUGCAGCAGCCCUCCCUCCCCGUUUAGUCCACUGGGGACUUUUGUGCAGACCUAGGCUGAGAUUUCUCAAACACAAUGACCUUGCCCACCCUGGCUGUCUCACUUGGUAAAUGCAGUGUAGACACUGGGGUGGGGAGAAGUGCAGCGCUGCAGGGGUGGUAUUUUAUACCCCGUGAGGGCACAGGUGAUGGUGUGUGACAUUGAAAGUCGGAUGAAAACAUCAGCUGUCAUUUAUUGAGCUUGUACUGUACAUUGGAUGCUAGUCCUGAUUGCUUUCCCUGCCUAGACACCAUCCUGCGAGGUAGCUGUGGGCGACAGGAUGUCCAUUUUACGGAUUUGGAAAUUGAAACUCAAAGAGGUAAAGGAAGCACCUUGCCCAAAGGUGAUCGGUCCUUAGAACUUCACAUUUUUUUAAAAGAGUUUUUUGUUUUAAUUUUAUUUAUUUAUUCAUGAGAGACAGAGAGAGAGAGAGAGAGAGAGAGAGAGAGGCAGAGACACAGGCAGAGGGAGAAGCAGGCUCCCUGCAGGGAGCCCGAUGCGGGACUCGGGACUCGAUCCGAUCCCGGGUCUCCAGGAUCAGGCCCUGGGCCGAAGGCGGUGCUAAACUGCUGAGCCACCCGGGCUGCCCCAGAACUUUUCAAAUUUUUGACUGUAUAUCUCACUUAUGAUAAGUGUAUGCUUAGCAGCUUAGGGGCAAGGUCCUAGCGAACACACGUUUGCUGCUGGACGCUGCCAAUCCAUUUUCUAAGGUCAUUUUAUCAAUCCAGGCAAUGGAGCCAGGUUUGAAGGUGAGUUGAUUCCUGUGCUCACGUUUGUUUGUUUUUUUUUUUUUUUAUUUUUUUAGAUUUUAUUUAUUUAUUCAUGAGAAACACAGAGACGGGGGAGAGAGAGAGAGAGAGGCAGGGACACAGGCAGAGGGGGAAGCAGGCUCCAUGCAGGGAGCCGACAUGGGACUCGAUCCCAGGUCUCCAGGAUCAGGCCCUGGGCUGAAGGCAGCACUAAACCUCUGAGCCACCCGGGCUGCCCUGCGCUCCUAUUUUUAAUUAGUUGAAAUAUAUCCCACCAGAGGGCCUGGUACAAAUAAUGAGGACUUUCCAGGAAACCUUUGCUCCUGGCAAGUAGAAGGUUUUGUAGGGGAGGCUGUUUUGUUUUGUAAACAUUUGUAUUAACAUAAAGCAACGUGCAUAAACCUCAAGAGAACAGCUCAUUGAAUUUGUAUAAAGUGAUUACUCCCAUGAGAACAGCGCCUGAUCCAGGCAUAGAACAUUCCUAACACCCCCAACAGCUUUCCUCCAACUUCGUUCUUAUUUAAGAUUAUCAUUGCUCUCUUGAUCCUUUGCAUUUCCAUAUGCAUUUUAGAAUCCUGUAGUCCCUUCCCGCUGGGAUUUUGAAUGAGAUUGUUCUAAAUUUAAGAAUUUUGUUAAUUUGGUGUUUUUUUUUUUUUGUUGUUGUUGUUGUUGUUUUUUCUCUCCUUCACUCAAAAGAAUUCACUAGUAAAGUCGUUUGGGUUGGGAGAGAGAGAGAGAGUGUGUGUGUGUGUGUAGGAGGGAUGGAUUUUUUUAAAAAUUUUUUUUAAUAAAAUAAUUUUUUAUUAGUGUUCA
rnacentral:lncRNA from 12 species